rnacentral:rRNA from 1 species
UACGAAGGGGGCUAGCGUUGCUCGGAUUGACUGGGCGUAAAGGGCGCGUAGGCGGUCUGUACAGUCAGGCGUGAAAUUCCUGGGCUCAACCUGGGGGCUGCGUUUGAUACGUGCAGACUAGAGUGCGGAAGAGGGUCGUGGAAUUCCCAGUGUAGAGGUGAAAUUCGUAGAUAUUGGGAAGAACACCGGUGGCGAAGGCGGCGACCUGGUCCGAUACUGACGCUGAGGCGCGAAAGCGUGGGGAGGCAAACAGG